UACGUAGGGUGCGAGCGUUGUCCGGAAUUAUUGGGCGUAAAGGGCUCGUAGGCGGUUCGUCACGUCGGCUGUGAAAUCCCGAGGCUCAACCUCGGGUCUGCAGUCGAUACGGGCGGACUUGAGUACUGCAGGGGAGACUGGAAUUCCUGGUGUAGCGGUGAAAUGCGCAGAUAUCAGGAGGAACACCGGUGGCGAAGGCGGGUCUCUGGGCAGUAACUGACGCUGAGGAGCGAAAGCGUGGGGAGCGAACAGG
rnacentral:rRNA from 1 species